rnacentral:lncRNA from 1 species
GAGAAAAGACAGAAAUGACCAUGAUGCAUCUUCCUCACUAUGAGAAAAAAGGUACCGUGUGAAGGUCUGGGCAUAUAACAGGAAACAAGAAAGAUAAAGCCCUUGCUUACAUAGAACUUGGUGAAGAAUCUAGACCAUAAGAAGCACACAGAGAAAAUGUAUCACAAAUUGUGCUAAAGUUCUGUAAAAGGAUUAAGAUGGAGUGUCACAAGACUGAAUUAGACAGAGUGCCCUUGAAAGAGUGCCAGUUUUUAGAAUGGAGGGUAUAGAUCCAUCCUUUGCAACUGGGGAGGACCUCCUCAGUAAGGCACGGAGCCAGGAUUCUAUGCAGCCGUGCAAACAGGGAAACACUACACACACAAUGAAAAGACAUUCUUUUCCUGUCUGUGGUGGAAUCGUCCAAGUUGUUUGGCUUGAUUUCCAGUGUCGACUUUCUAAACCAACAAGAUUUUAAUCCUCUGAUGCCAGAAUGUUAGGAGUGUCUGUUUGUGGGCUGGAUUUUAGUUGCCGAGGUGAAUGAAACCUGGUUCAAGUUGCCUGGCACAGGAAAGCCAAAGAUCCACACCAAGAUUUUGCAGCUAGAGAAAAGAGGGCAUUUAUUCGCAGGGCACCAAGCAAGGAGAAUUGGGUCACUUCUCUAAUGACCUGCUUCAGCUUCACUGCACCCAGAUUGCUGGGAAGAUCAGCAUGCUCAGUAUAUCUGGGAUGUCUGGAGACAGCUGGAACAAAGAAGAGCUGCAGGAGCUGUGAGUGUCAGUCACAACGUGGGUACCACUCUGGUCCUCAGUGGCCUGCUCUUCAAAGCACCCCAGCAGCCUUCACUGCCGAGGACCUCAGUAACCCUCAUGGUCACCAGAGAAUCCUCACUGCUUCCACCAAUGAGAAUCCUAUCAUGUCUGCUUCAAACACCAGAGCCACCACUAUGGGAUCACUGUCUUUCAUUGUCUGAUAUUUAUUGAAAACUUGUUUAUUUUCAGCUUUUUAUUGUUUCAGGUCUGCCAAGUACCAGCCUUAAGCCAGCAUAAGGUAUAAAAUGAAUGAGCCAAGACUCCGCCUGUGACAUGUUACUGUACACCUCAAGAAGAACCCUGGCAGUAUG